CUUUUGCAAUCUACUAUAUCUAAAGUGUUUGUACAACAAUCAUUUCCACAUAAAUUCAGCAUUAUUUCAGCAGAAAAGACAGAGGAAGCGAUAAGAGUGCUGCAGCUACACAGGCUGCUAGUUGCUGUGUUCACUGUGCGUCCGUCAUUUCAAAGCGUCAGGGAAUAUUGCCUCGUUUCUGCUUAAAACUGACUUUAGAAUUAUUUAAGAGGUUUUACCUUUAUCAUCUGAUGGUUAAUAA